rnacentral:rRNA from 1 species
AACGAACGCUGGCGGCAGGCCUAACACAUGCAAGUCGAACGCCCUAGCAAUAGGGAGUGGCGCACGGGUGCGUAACGCGUGGGAAUAUGCCCUUCACUGCGGAAUAACGUUUGGAAACGAACGCUAAUACCGCAUAAUGACUCCGGUCCAAAGAUUUAUCGCCGAAAGAUCGGCCCGCGUCUGAUUAGCUAGUUGGUGAGGUAAAGGCUCACCAAGGCGACGAUCAGUAGCUGGUCUGAGAGGAUGAUCAGCCACGCUGGGACUGAGACACGGUCCAGACUCCUACGGGAGGCAGCAGUGGGGAAUAUUGCGCAAUGGGCGAAAGCCUGACGCAGCCACGCCGCGUGAGCGAUGAAGGUCUUCGGAUCGUAAAGCUCUGUGGGGGGAGAAGAAGAAAGCCGGUGAAGAGCCGGCCCUGACGGUAUCCCCUUAGCAAGCACCGGCUAACUCCGUGCCAGCAGCCGCGGUAAU